GAGGAAUAUUGGUCAAUGGGCGGAAGCCUGAACCAGCCAUGCCGCGUGCAGGACGACGGCCCUAUGGGUUGUAAACUGCUUUUGUGCGGGAAGAAUAACCCCCUCGUGAGGGGGGAUGCCGGUACCGCACGAAUAAGGAUCGGCUAACUCCGUGCCAGCAGCCGCGGUAAUACGGAGGAUCCAAGCGUUAUCCGGAUUUACUGGGUUUAAAGGGUGCGUAGGCGGGUCGUUAAGUCGGCGGUGAAAUGCGGGGGCGCAACCUUCGAGCUGCCGCCGAAACUGGCGACCUUGAAUUCGGUCGAGGCUGGCGGAAUGCGUGGUGUAGCGGUGAAAUGCUUAGAUAUCACGCGGAACGCCGAUUGCGAAGGCAGCUGGCCGGGCCGAGAUUGACGCUGAGGCACGAAAGCGUGGGGAUCAAAC
rnacentral:rRNA from 1 species